rnacentral:rRNA from 1 species
UCAGGCCUAACACAUGCAAGUCGAGCGGUAGCAGGAAGUGCUUGCACUUCGCUGACGAGCGGCGGACGGGUGCGUAACACGUAGGAAUCUGCCUGGUAGUGGGGGAUAGCCCGGAGAAAUCCGGAUUAAUACCGCAUACGCCCUACGGGGGAAAGGAGGGGACCCGUUUCUUUUAUAAGAAGCGAGCCUUUCGCUAUCAGAUGAGCCUGCGUCGGAUUAGCUAGUUGGUGGGGUAAAGGCCUACCAAGGCGACGAUCCGUAGCUGGUCUGAGAGGAUGAUCAGCCACACUGGGACUGAGACACGGCCCAGACUCCUACGGGAGGCAGCAGUGGGGAAUAUUGCACAAUGGGCGAAAGCCUGAUGCAGCCAUGCCGCGUGUGUGAAGAAGGCCCUAGGGUUGUAAAGCACUUUCAGUGGGGAGGAAAGGUUGAAGGUUAAUACCCUUCAGCUGUGACGUUACCCACAGAAGAAGCACCGGCUAACUCCGUGCCAGCAGCCGCGGUAAUACGGAGGGUGCGAGCGUUAAUCGGAAUUACUGGGCGUAAAGCGUGCGUAGGCGGCCACCUAAGUUGGAUGUGAAAGCCCCGGGCUCAACCUGGGAACUGCAUCCAAAACUGGGUGGCUAGAGUACGGGAGAGGAGUGUGGAAUUUCCUGUGUAGCGGUGAAAUGCGUAGAUAUAGGAAGGAACACCAGUGGCG